ACAGCGUCUGGUGCAGCAAAUGAUAGCUCUUCUUCUUAAUACUUUAUUAACUGUUAUUAUGGACCUAAAGCAUCCAGAGCUGCGCCUAUCUCUCAGUUCUCUUUUCUCCUGGACGAUGCCCAUUUUCUCAACGGAGGCCCUGCUUUGCAGCUAGGGAGCCCUUCAGUGCCAACCGCUCUAUCCCACGAGAGAGGGUGCACGCAGGGUAGAGGGAUUCAACCUUGGGAGGUGUCCCGGCAGCCAGUUACACACGCGGAAGGAGGGAGGCAAGAGAAGCAGCAACAGCACUGGCGGAAGUUCACCGAGUUGAUAAAGUUAUUAAAACAUAAAACACACACAUGCACCAGGCCGGGGGGGGGGGGAAUGCAUAAAAUCAAGCAACCCGCCGCGUCCAGCCCUUUACCUCCAGGCUGUGCAAAGCCAGGAGGGCGAGGGAGCGGGGAGAGGAGGAACGAGUCUGACAGCUCGGUAAGCCUGACUGGGAAAAAAAAAAAAUCAAAACAAAGCCUUGGUGAUUAGGAGAAAGGAGCUUGAAGAUACACAAGGAAACACUGUUCAUUUGACCUUGGGAAGAAAGGUGACUGUGUCUCAUCGCAAUUGUUUCUGAAUUGGAAAGCUC
rnacentral:lncRNA from 1 species